GCCUGGCUGUCUUGGUCAGAAUAGCAUGAGACUCUUAAUCUUAGGGUUUGAGUUCGAGCCUCAUGUUGGGCA
rnacentral:tRNA from 1 species